UACGUAUGGUGCAAGCGUUGUUCGGAAUCACUGGGCGUAAAGGGUGCGCAGGCGGACUGUUAAGUCGGGAGUGAAAACUGAGGGCUCAACCCUCAGCCUGCUUUCGAAACUGGCAGUCUGGAGUCCCGGAGAGGCAGGCGGAAUUCCCGGUGUAGCGGUGAAAUGCACAGAUAUCGGGAGGAACACCAAUGGCGAAGGCAGCCUGCUGGACGGAGACUGACGCUCAUGCACGAAAGCGUGGGGAUCAAACAGGAUUAGAACCUACCC
rnacentral:rRNA from 1 species